rnacentral:lncRNA from 1 species
GCAGAGCAGUGUCCAGAGUCACUGACAAGUUCAUAACCCUUCCAAACUGGUCAAUGUAGUAGACAUUAUCCUGGUACCAGGAGUCAAGGUGAAGAUAAUUAUACAUGCCAAAAGCACGCAUGUGGUCAAGGGUAUAUUGAUCAUCACGAAGUUUCACUUCUGCUACAGCCGCGUCCAACUCCAGCUGGUAGCAGGCCAGCGGCUCCAGGGACAGCUUGUAGCCCUCGAACUUGGGGUCCAGGAGCAGGCGCUUGGCCUCCAGCGAGCAGUGCGCGGCGCCCUCCAUGCCGGACGCGGGCAGCCCGCGAGAG